AGCGCAGACGGUUAUUUAAGUCUGAAGUGAAAGCCCUCAGCUCAACUGAGGAAUUGCUUUUGAAACUGGAUGACUUGAGUGCAGUAGAGGAAAGUGGAACUCCAUGUGUAGCGGUGAAAUGCGUAGAUAUAUGGAAGAACACCAGUGGCGAAGGCGGCUUUCUGGACUGUAACUGACGUUGAGGCUCGAAAGUGUGGUAGCAAACA
rnacentral:rRNA from 1 species